CUUCUGCAUCUUCUUUGAUUAUAAUCUAACACCAAUUUUGCUUGUAACACUCAAGAAACUGUGCUUUUGAUGAUAUAAAUAUUAGUAAGUUCUUUGUAGUAUUCAUAAGGUUCUGCUGUUGAGUAUGAAGGAUUAAGUUGGAAUAUUUUUGUCCUUUUUUCAGUAUGUUAUCUACGUGAGUUUUAAGGCUGCUUGGAAUCAUAGAUAUCCUGUUCUUCUGGUUGACCUGUUGUUACAUUAUUGUUACCAUCUCACAGGCAGAAUAUGAUUCAUUAUUUGUUACCAUCUCACAGGAAGAACAUCUUACCUUAUUGUGUGAAGAAAAAAAAUUGAAAUGGUUCUCUUUGUUUUUGUUUAAAGGAAAGAAAAGAAUUAAUUUAAUUUUUUCUUAGCUAUCAAGAGCUUGUUUGUCUAGUAAUUAAUUUAUGUCAUGCUUCCUUAAUAAAUACCCAGUAAAAAACCUGUGGUAGGUGAAGGCUGAAGUUUAGCCAACUGAAAGCUCCUCUCGUCACAAUGGGGGUAGUUACCAUUGGGGAAAAGUACUUUAAGUUCAACCUUGGUGAGUCAUAAAAGUUAUAAUCUAGGGAAAUAUGCGGCUUACAUUGGUACAGCAAAAGGCUUGGUGCUAGACUGAUCUGUAGGGGAUGGCUAGUGUGACUACAGUCAAAACUAAUUGUUCGAGGUGGAAUUGUGUUUGUUCUAAGGUUACUUUUGACUGAAUGAUGAGAUAACUUGGUGGACAUUCCUUUUCCAAUGUGGCUUGUUCUUUGUUUCAUAUUUUUCAGUAGUAUAACAAGAAACAAAUGGAAUAGAAAUUUAAGUGAACUAGAAUGGAUAAGCCCAAGGUGGGUGAGCUAUUGAUUUCACAAAGUUGUAAGUUGAGUAACCAACACAUUAGAGUUUAUGUACUCCUUUCUUGAGCGUUGCUUUAUGUGCUUUGAAGGUUAUAAGUUUGGAGUAAUAAAGGUGGCUAGAUACCUUUUCACAUUCUUUCGUUGUGGAGAAACCUUUAUUGCCUACUCUUUGUUUUGGUUUGUCGUUGGCAAGGAGUGAGUAAACUUCUAAUGGGAAUUCCGAUUGUACAAACUUUGACCAACAUGUUAAUAUGGUUUGAUUGCAUUGAAGUACUUGUUGAGUUGUAUUUUAUUAUGUUAGGAAGACUAUCAAGCCAUAUUAAGAUAGAAUCUGUAUUUUCAUAAUUUGACUUAAUUUGUUUCCUUCUAUAACUCCAUUGUAACUGUAUAUAUUACAAUGUUCUAUUCUCUAUCAAUACAAGGAAAAUAUUUUGAACUCCUUCUCUCUGAAUUCACAUGGUAUCAGAGCCUCCUUCAAGGCUCUACAUUUUUUUCCGACGAACCAACCCCUACUUUUCCGGCCACCUUACUCCCUUCCUUUUCUAAUGGUUGUGCCUUUUUCGUUUGGAUCGGUUGUGUCUCGUCAACAAAACCUUGAAGAUUUGUCGUCGGAAUCCUUCCCACUCGUUGCCAGGCGCCACGUGUUGUUUUGGCCUCCACCAUUGUCGAUCUCUCUCUCCGGUGACUGUGGUGUCUCACUGGCAUCAUCAAUCGACUCAGAAGAAGCUGACGGUCAUUUCUGUUGAAGUCCCCCCUCCACCGGCCACUGGAUGUGUUGCUGGUGACAUUGUCGGAAACCUCCUCCAUUAUUCACGUUGCCGAACGCGUCUAGAAGCCCUCUCUCACUGUCCAUCAAACUUUUGAUUAGAUUUGUUUAGCCUCUAGUUGCUCUAAGUCUUCAGUUUUCUCUAGAAGCUUUUUCCGUUCUCUGAUAUGUGCUUCAACAUGUCCAUUGAGAGCUCCAAAUCAGGUUUGUUUAAUUCUUUUCCAGUUAUCACUACAGAAAAAUUAAUAGGGAGCAAUAAUUAUAUCUCAUGGGCUGCAUCCGUUGAACUAUUGUGCAUGGGACAGGGUUUUGAAGACCAUCUCACUAAGAAGGUUGAGGAUAUUAUGUUUGAUAAAACUAUAUGGACUGGGACUAAUGCAUUAUUAUGUAGCAUGCUAUGGAAUAUCAUUGAUCCUCAACUUCAUUCUAUUUUUAAAGUUUAUUGGACAUGCAAUGACAUAUGAAAUCAAGUUAAACUCUUAUACAUCAAUGAUAUUCAACAAUUAUACUUUGUUGUAUUGACCUUGAUUACUUUAAAACAAUAAGGAAUGAGCAUGUCUGAGUUUCUUGGUCGGAUGACAUACUUGAAAACUAAAUUUAAUUUAUUAUUAUCUGCUGGUAAAAUUACAGUAGACGACUUAGCCCAGUGAGACAUUUUUUAUGGUUCUCACAUUGACCGCCAUUAGUCUUGACCUUAUUCAUGUUCGAGAUCAAAUUCUUGUUAGUGCGUCGUCCCAACCCUUGAUGAAGUCUUUGCUCAGCUCCUCCGUGUGUCUUCCCCAGGUGUUAUGAUUGGAUCUUUCGGUAUCACCAAUUUUGAGUCAUUUUCCUUUGUCGCCAAGAAUCAACAGCUAGACAAUCGUGGUGGCUAAGGGAAUCGGCCAAAGUGCAGUUAUUGUAACAAGUGGGGUCACAAGAGAGACAAAUGUUAUAGGCUACAUAGUCGUCCAUCUCGAAUUGCCAAUGUUGUUCAGUCCAUCUCGAAAUGCACCAGAAUCAAGGACCCAUGGCCUGGAAGGAGAAAAGUAAGACACAUAGUUGAAGUACCCGAAUGAGCAAUCGAAACAAUAGAAGAUGAAGACUGUUUUGUUGUCUGAUACCGGAGAUAGUCUUCAAGAUCAGCGCCUGUGAGUGUCAAGAACGGUUGAGGUUGUACUCUAAAGGUUUCAAGAGGAGAAUCAAAUGUACUGGUCUGAACAACAUUGGCAGUUUGAGAUGGACGACCAUACUACUUAUAACAUUUGUCCCUGUUGUGACUUUACUUGUUACAAUAACUACACUUUGGUUGAUUCCCUCACCACCAUGAUCACCUGACUGUCGAUUCUAGGAGACAAGGGCAGAUGAGUCAAAAUUGGUGGUACUGGAAGAUCCAGUUAUAACACCUAAAGAAGACACAUGGAGGAGCCGAGCAAAGACUUCAUUAAGGGUUGGGACAAACACACUAGCAAGAAUUUAAUCUCGAACAUGAGUAAGGUUAAGACUAAUGGUGGUCAAUGUGAGAACUAUAAAAAAUUUGUCUCGCUGGGCUAAAUCAUCUGUUGUAGUUUUACCAGUAGGUAAUAAUAAAUUGAAUUUAGUUUUCAAGGAUGGCAUCCGACUGAGAAAGUCAAACGUGCUCAUUCCUUAUUGUUUCAAAGUAACCAAGUCGAUACAACAGAGUAUAAUUGUUAGAUAUCAUUGGUGUAUAAGAGUUUGGUUUGAUUCCAUACAUCAUUACAUGUCCUAUAAGCUUUAAAAAUAGCAUGAAGUUGAGAAUUGAUUGUAUUCCAUAACACGCUGCAUAACAAUACAUCAAUCCUAGUCUAUAUAGUUUUAUCAGAUAUAAUGUCUUCCGCCUUCUUAGUGAGAUGGUCUUCAAAACCCUAUCCCAUGCACCAUAGUUCAACGGAUGGUUAUAGGUGGAUCUAUGCUAUUAAAGUUGGUCCUGAUGGUCAGGUUGAUAGGUUGAAAGCGUAGUUGGUGGCUAAAGGAUACACUCAGACAUAUGACCUUGAUUAUCAUGAGAUUCUCUUCUGUGGCCAAAAUGUCAUCUGUUCGACUAUUUUUAUCCAUGGCUGCCUUUCGACAAUGGUGUCUGCAUUGGUUGGACAUCAAGAAUGCUUUUCUUCAUGGUGAACUACAAGAAGAGAUCUAUAUGGAGCAACCUCCUGGUUUUGUUGCUCAAGGGAGUUUGGAUUGAUUUGGGGAACCACUUGCAGAUCCUGGGAGAUAUCGGAGACUGGUUGAUAAACUCAAUUAUCUCACCAUCACACGACCAGAUAUUUCUUUUUCUGUUAGUGUUGUUAGUCAAUUCCUUUAGUCUUCAUGUAAGUCAUUGGGAUGCAGUAGUUCAGAUUUUGAGGUACAUUAAGAGGGCACCUGGAAAAGGGUUGCUAUAUGAGAAUAAAGGACAUACUCAAAUCGUUGGGUCUUCAUAUGCGGAUUGGGCAGGUUCUCCGUCAAAUAGACGUUCCACUUUUGGGUAUUGUGUAUUGGUUAGAGGAAAUCUCGUAUCAUGAAAAAGUAAAAAGCAAGAUGUUGUUGCCAGAUCAAGUGUAGAAGCAGAAUAUCGUGCUAUGACCUUACCCACUUGCGAGCUCAUUUGUUUAAAGCAAUUGAUUCAAGAAUUAAAGUUUACAGAAGUAUGACAAAUGUUAUUACUUUGUGAUAAUCAAGCUGUUAUUCACAUUUCCUCAAACCUAAUGUUUCAUGAAAGAACAAAACAUAUAGAAAUUGAUUGUCAUUUUGUUCGAGAAAAGAUUUUGUCCGGUUGUAUCUCCACAAGUCAUAUCAGUUCAAAUGAUCAACUAGCUGACAUACUAAAUGUCUUCGAGGUCCUCAAAUUAGUUUCAUCUGUAGCAAGUUUGGUGCAUAUGAUUUAUAUGCACCAGCUUGAGAGGGAGUGUUGAGUUGUAUUUUAUUAUAUUAGGAAGGCUAUCAAGCCAUAUUAGGAUAGAAUCUAUAUUUUAGGAAUUUGACUUAAUUUGUUUUCUUCUAUAACUCCAUUGUAACUAUAUAUAUUGCAAUGUUUUGUUUUCUAUCAAUACAAGGAAAAUAUUUUGAACUCC